rnacentral:rRNA from 1 species
GACGAACGCUGGCGGCGUGCUUAACACAUGCAAGUCGAACGGAAAGGCCCUGCUUUUGUGGGGUGCUCGAGUGGCGAACGGGUGAGUAACACGUGAGUAACCUGCCCUUGACUUUGGGAUAACUUCAGGAAACUGGGGCUAAUACCGGAUAGGAGCUCCUGCUGCAUGGUGGGGGUUGGAAAAUUUCGGCGGUUGGGGAUGGACUCGCGGCUUAUCAGCUUGUUGGUGGGGUAGUGGCUUACCAAGGCUUUGACGGGUAGCCGGCCUGAGAGGGUGACCGGCCACAUUGGGACUGAGAUACGGCCCAGACUCCUACGGGAGGCAGCAGUGGGGAAUAUUGCACAAUGGGCGGAAGCCUGAUGCAGCAACGCCGCGUGCGGGAUGACGGCCUUCGGGUUGUAAACCGCUUUCGCCUGUGAUGAAGCGUGAGUGACGGUAAUGGGUAAAGAAGCACCGGCUAACUACGUG